rnacentral:lncRNA from 1 species
CCUUUGGGAAUCUGUUCAAUUGGCUUGUGUAUUAGAAGUCACUGGGGUAUGUGGUGGGAGGGGCAGCAUAUACUCAGUCAUGGUACUCAUUUCAGUGCUGGGGUGGAAAUGUUGUUUUUCUCAGGCUUAGGGGUGACUGUAGUAUCUACAACAGAGAUUAUCAAGUGUCAGGUUUCAUUGAUCAAGGCCGAUGUUAUGUUUAUUUUUUAUGUUUAUGCUCCUAAUGAGGGUACAGAGCAUAUUGCUGUAUUUGAUCAAAUAAAGGAAAUCUUAAGACAGUGGGACCAAGAGGGGUGUAUGGUUUUAGAGGGGGACUGGAACUGUACAGUGGGUUUCACUGAUCGCACUGCUGAAGAACCUCACCUCAUCUAAUAACCGAGUUUCAGCUUUCUGAUGUGUGGAGAGUCAGGAAUGCAAAAGUUAGGCUGUACACAUGGCUAAAAGUUAAUGAAGGUGGUGUCAGUGCAGCAACGUUAGACAGGUUGUAUGUAUCUGAUCACUACUGUAGUAGGGUUGGAAGGUUAGACAGGUUGUAUGUAUCUGAUCACUACUGUAGUAGGGUUGGAAGGUUAGACAGGUUGUAUGUAUCUGAUCACUACUGUAAUAGGGUUGGAAGGUUAGACAGGUUGUAUGUAUCUGAUCACUACUGUAAUAGGGUUGGAAGGUUAGACAGGUUGUAUGUAUCUGAUCACUACUGUAAUAGGGUUGGAAGGUUAGACAGGUUGUAUGUAUCUGAUCACUACUGUAGUAGGGUUGGAAGGUUAGACAGGUUGUAUGUAUCUGAUCACUACUGUAGUAGGGUUGGAAGGUUAGACAGGUUGUAUGUAUCUGAUCUCUACUGUAGUAGGGUUGGAAGGUUAGACAGGUUGUAUGUAUCUGAUCACUACUGUAGUAGGGUUGGAAGGUUAGACAGGUUGUAUGUAUCUGAUCACUACUGUAGUAGGGUUGGAAGGUGUGAUAUUACUCCUGUGGGUUUUUCUGAUCAUCAUAAUGUGUCUAUUGAUAUUCACUUGUCCAGUCCUCCAAGGUCAUCACCUUACUGGUAUUUUCAUGUUAAGUUGUUACAUGACCAUGUUUUGUGAAAAGUUUAUGUUGUUUUGGGAAAAAUGGAGGGUUAUUAAAUGGAAUUUUGAGUCCUUGAGACGAUGGUGGGAGGUUGGGAAGGCCCAAAUACGUGUGUCUUGUCAACAGUAUACUGCUCUGUCUAGUAUUGAAGUUAAAGAGACUAUCAGGGCCCUUGAACAGGACAUCAAAUCUAUUGAAUUGAAGUUGCUCAAUCAGAAUUACCCAGGACUAGUCAUGAACUUACAGGACAAUAGACAUGAACUGAGGUCGUUUUUACAUGAACGUGUU